AUCACUUCUUGGCCUUUUGGCUAAGAUCAGGUGCUCGCAUCAGUUUAAUAUCUCGUACAUCCUCAAUAAGAGGACUAUAUAUUGAAUUAAUUUUGAGGGUUAACAGUUGGACCCAGAGCUUGCUCCCACCUCUCCAUGCAUCGUUCCAGUAAGCAAAUACUUCCAGGCAUGGUGCACACUUG